rnacentral:tRNA from 2 species
CCCUGGUUAGCUCAGUUGGUAAAGCGCUCCACUGGAAAUGGAGAGGUCCCGGGUUCGAUACCCGGACCAGGCG